GGGCGCUUAGCUCAGUUGGCUAGAGCGCCGCCUUUACACGGCGGAAGUCGCUGGUUCGAGUCCAGUAGCGCCCA
rnacentral:tRNA from 1 species